rnacentral:misc_RNA from 1 species
GAAAUGCGAUAAGUAAUGUGAAUUGCAGAAUUCAGUGAAUCAUCGAAUCUUUGAACGCACAUUGCGCCCGCCAGUAUUCUGGCGGGCAUGCCUGUCCGAGCGUCAUUUCAACCAUCAAGCCCCCGGGCUUGUGUUGGGGACCUGCGGCUGCCCGCAAGCCCUGAAAACCAGUGGCGGGCUCGCUGUCACACCGAGCGUAGUAGCAAUCACCUCGCUCAGGGCGUGCUGCGGGUUCCGGCCGUUAAACAGCCUUACAAAACCCAAGGUUGACCUCGGAUCAGGUAGGAAGACCCGCUGAACUUAAGC